rnacentral:ncRNA from 1 species
UGAAAAAACGCCAACGCAGGUAGUUUUCAACGGUCUGCUGAACGGGAAGUCGGUGCCCUCUCCAUGAGCAAUCCCGACGCUGCCCCCGCAACGGUAAUCGACUGCAAGCAUCACGCUUGUCCCUAUCCAACCGCCACUGGGAGCCCCCGGGAAGGCGGCUAGGGGUCGAGAGCCCGGAGACCGGCCAAGGCGGAUCGACUGGUG